rnacentral:lncRNA from 1 species
CUCGCAGCUGUAAUUGGAUUGCUUCUAUUUGUUUUAUCUCCAGCUGUCUGCAUAUACAGAAAACUCACAGCCAGGACUCAAAACCAGAAUCCAGUCCAGGAGCAGAUUCAUCUUCCUACGGAAGGAGAGGUAGUCCUCCCUCAAUCGCAGGGUGUCGCAGACAGGCGGACAAAUAAAAAGUGUAGGAGUCAGUACAUGGAGAGGCUCAAUUCAAUCUAUGAUCGCUCCUAAAGUGACCAUUUAAAUGAAGAGAAAUGGACAAACCAGGUGUUUCAAUGGGAACCAAUCAGAAGGAGGACAACUGGGUCACUGAUGCCUUCGGUUGAUCUAACAUUAAUCCCAGUGCUUUCACUUUAAGACAUUUUAUUUUUAGCUUAUCUUUUAUAUUAAUGGUACUCUUUGUAUUUUAAUAUGUUCUUGUGUUU